GGAGAGGUACCGAAGUGGUCGUAACGGGGGCGACUCGAAAUCGUCUUGUCCGGUGAAGAGCCGGGCACGUGGGUUCGAAUCCCACCCUCUCCGCCA
rnacentral:tRNA from 1 species